rnacentral:lncRNA from 1 species
GCAGUGAGUUCUCAGCGCCUCCCGCCGCGCAGGCUCGGCGUUGGCCUCCGCGGCCCGUGCGAGUGCGCCCUUCUCGGGUCCCCUAGGUCGCGGGGCAGCCGGGGCGGAAGGGGCUUGUUCAUUAUUUUGAGAGUUUGUUGUGAACGUCAUAACCUUUCGUCCUUAAAUAUUGCCGAUACUUGACCUACGCAAGAGACAAUGUCAUGUGAUUCAGCCUAAUAUCUCAGAGGAUGCAGCAUUCAAGGUUCUAUCUUGGAAGCAGAGACUGUGCCCUCACCAGAUGCUGAACCUGCUGAGCACCCUGAUCUUCCACUUCACCUUCAUCAGAACUGGACGCGCAUGAAAUUUGGUGCCGUGACUCGGAUCGGCGGACCUCCCUUAGGAGAUCAAUCCCCUGUCCUCCUGCUCUUUGCUCCAUGAGAAAGAUCCACCUACGACCUAAGGUCCUCAGACCAACCAGCCCAAGAAACAUCUCACCAAUUUCAAAUCCGAAAUCCUUCAUCUAAUCUGGCAAACACAUGUGGCAGGUUUUUCUCACCGCAUAAAAUAUGUUAUAGAGUAGUCCAUCUAUUUCUCUUCCAUGGAAGAGUUCAUCUGGUAGAUUGGACUACCACUUUUCCUUGAUGAGAGACGUUGAGCUCCAAACUCAGACUAAGAAACUAUAAGAAAUAUGCUUCAAUGAAGAAGCUGUUCAAAAAUGAGUAAGAUUGUUUCCUUGAGGCAAGAAAGAAAUGCAGAAGUCUUGACAAACAAAAGAAGAGAUUGCCUUAGGGAAGGGGACUACAGUGAACACUGAGAACUUCUUCCCACGCUAAGACAAUCUUUACAGAGCAAGACUCCGUCUCAAAAAAAAAAAAAAAAGUAAGCAUAAGAAG